CAGCAGCCGCGGGAAUACGGAGGGGGCAAGCGUUAUCCGGAGUUAUUGGGCGUAAAGGGUACGUAGGUAGCCUUUUAAGCGUAGGGUAUAAGGCAAUGGCUCAACCAUUGUUCGCCCUAUGAACUGGAAGGCUUGAGUGCAGGGGAGGAAAGCGGAAUUCCUAGUGUAGCGGUGGAAUGCAUAGAUAUUUGGAGGAACAUCAGCGGCGAAGGCGGCUUUCUGGACUGCAACUGACACUGAGGUACGAAAGCGUGGGGAGCAAACAGGAUUAGAUACCCGUGUAGUCCCUGUCUCUUAUACA
rnacentral:rRNA from 1 species